UACGUAGGGGGCAAGCGUUGUCCGGAAUCAUUGGGCGUAAAGAGCGUGUAGGCGGCCCGAUAAGUCCGCUGUGAAAGUCCAGGGCUCAACCCUGGGAUGCCGGUGGAUACUGUCGGGCUCGAGUCCGGAAGAGGCGAGUGGAAUUCCUGGUGUAGCGGUGAAAUGCGCAGAUAUCAGGAGGAACACCAAUGGCGAAGGCAGCUCGCUGGGACGGUACUGACGCUGGAGACGCGAAAGCGUGGGGAGCAAACAGG
rnacentral:rRNA from 1 species